GAUUAGCCAUGCGAGUCGAGAGGGUUCGGCCCUCGGCGGACUGCUCAGUAACACGUGGAUAACCUGCCCUAAGGUGGAGGAUAACCCCGGGAAACUGGGGAUAAUACUCCAUAGGAUACAACUGCUGGAAUGCUCUGUAUCCGAAAGCUCCGGCGCCUUAGGAUGGAUCUGCGGCCGAUUAGGUUGUUGUUGGGGUAACGGCCCAACAAGCCCGUAAUCGGUACGGGUUGUGGGAGCAAGAGCCCGGAGAUGGACUCUGAGACACGAGUCCAGGCCCUACGGGGCGCAGCAGGCGCGAAAACUUUACAAUGCGGGAAACCGUGAUAAGGGAACCCCGAGUGCCCGUAAUCGCGGGCUGUCCGGGUGUGUAAAAAGCACCCGAAGAAAGGGCCGGGCAAGACCGGUGCCAGCCGCCGCGGUAAUACCGGCGGCUCGAGUGGUGACCACUUUUAUUGGGCUUAAAGCGUCCGUAGCUGGAUUGUUAAGUCUCUUGGGAAAUCUCACGGCUUACCGUGAGGCGUCUAA
rnacentral:rRNA from 1 species